ensembl:ncRNA lncRNA:CR43655 long non-coding RNA:CR43655
AUUAGAAUAUAAAUUGAAAUUGACGGGCCAACUUGUUUGCCUUUCGUCGGCAUUUCUUUUUGCGGCACGCAGACAGGGUAACUGUCAUUGGUUUUGCAUGUUGCAGGUCGAGGCGAAAAUUAUCCGCAUCUCGGAUGCGGUGACUUCUGUGGAAGGCAGCAGAAAUGCCGGCAAUCCUGCGGGGGCAGAGGAUGCCAGGCCAUGGACAUACUUUUCCAAUUUACCCGCACCAUCGCUGGAGCGGACUGUGCGAAAUGAGCCACUCAAAGCAAUCAGGCAGACACAUCUCUGGCCCCACCCAAUCACUCAGCCUAGCCCCUGCUCCACUUCGUCUUCCAGUUUCCGGCCGAGGAGCUGAGGAGCCGAGGAGCAGCCCAUACCGGAAUCCUCACCAGCCAUCAGCGCCAUGAAUUAUGCAAAUCUCUUGCGGCCAACUCAACGCAAAGGCGGUCGAGCUGGGAAAAAAUCAAACAAAAUCGAUUGAUGUACAAAUUUUUCUUAGCAUCCGCAAACAAUUUUCUCCCAUCG